rnacentral:rRNA from 1 species
AUCGUAAAAGGUGGCAAGCGUUGUCCGGAAUUACUGGGCGUAAAGCGCGCGCGGGUGGUUCCUUAAGUCUGAUGUGAAAGCCCACGGCUCAACCGUGGAGGGUCAUUGGAAACUGGGGAACUUGAGUGCAGAAGAGGAAAGUGGAAUUCCAAGUGUAGCGGUGAAAUGCGUAGAGAUUUGGAGGAACACCAGUGGCGAAGGCGACUUUCUGGUCUGUAACUGACACUGAGGCGCGAAAGCGUGGGGAGC